rnacentral:rRNA from 1 species
AUUGAACGCUGGCGGCAGGCCUAACACAUGCAAGUCGAGCGGAGCGGCGGACGGGUGAGUAAUGCCUAGGAAUCUGCCUGGUAGUGGGGGAUAACGUCCGGAAACGGGCGCUAAUACCGCAUCCUAUCAGAUGAGCCUAGGUCGGAUUAUCUGGUUGGUGGGGUAAAGGCCUACCAAGGCGACGAUCCGUAAAUGGUCUGAGAGGAUGAUCAGUCAAACGGGAACUGGGACACGGCCCAGACUCCUACGGGAGGCAUCAGUGGGGAAUAUUGGAAAAUGGGCGAAAGCCUGAUCCAGCCAUGCCGCGUGUGUGAAGAAGGUCUUCGGAUUGUAAAUCACUUUAAGUUGGGAGGCGGUACCAUCAGAAAAAGCACCGGCUAACUUCGUGCCAGCCGCCGCGGUAAUUC